rnacentral:rRNA from 1 species
UGGNUAGNCGCACGAGCGCACCCUUGUCAUUAGUUGCUACGAAAGGGCACUCUAAUGAGACUGCCGGUGACAAACCGGAGGAAGGUGGGGAUGACGUCAAGUCCUCAUGGCCCUUAUGGGUAGGGCUUCACACGUCAUACAAUGGUACAUACAGAGGGCCGCCAACCCGCGAGGGGGAGCUAAUCCCAGAAAGUGUAUCGUAGUCCGGAUUGUAGUCUGCAACUCGACUGCAUGAAGUUGGAAUCGCUAGUAAUCGCGGAUCAGCAUGUCGCGGUGAAUACGUUCCCGGGUCUUGUACACACCGCCCGUCACACCAUGGGAGCGGGUUUUACCAGAAGUAGGUAGCUUAACCGCAAGGAGGGCGCUUACCACGGUAGGAUUCGUGACUGGGGUGAAGUCGUAACAAGGUAGCCGUAUCGGAAGGUGCGGCUGGAUCACCUCCU